UGCCCCCACGGCGCCGCCUCCACGUGGCGGGGGUGGGCAACUCACCAAAUGGUGAGGCUAAGAGCGCC
rnacentral:ribozyme from 1 species